UGAAUUAAAGUGUGAAAUUGCACUAUCAACUUUGAAUUGAUAAGAUUUAAUUCAA
rnacentral:tRNA from 1 species